UACGAAGGGGGCUAGCGUUGUUCGGAAUCACUGGGCGUAAAGCGCACGCAGGCGGAUCGAUAAGGCGGGGGUGAAAGCCCGGGGCUCAACCUCGGAAUUGCCUUCGAUACUGUCGGUCUCGAGUCCGGGAGAGGUGAGUGGAAUUCCUAGUGUAGAGGUGAAAUUCGUAGAAAUUAGGAAGAACACCAGUGGCGAAGGCGGCUCACUGGCCCGGUACUGACGAUCAGGUGCGAAAGCGUGGGGAGCAAACAGG
rnacentral:rRNA from 1 species